UACGUAGGUGGCAAGCGUUGUCCGGAAUUAUUGGGCGUAAAGCGCGCGCAGGUGGUUUCUUAAGUCUGAUGUGAAAGCCCACGGCUCAACCGUGGAGGGUCAUUGGAAACUGGGGAACUUGAGUGCAGAAGAGGAAAGUGGAAUUCCAAGUGUAGCGGUGAAAUGCGUAGAGAUCCGGAAGAACACCGGUGGCAAAGGCGGUCUGCUGGGCAGUAGCUGACACUGAGGCGCGACAGCGUGGGGAGCAAACAGG
rnacentral:rRNA from 1 species